GUGAUUGUAGCUCAGUUGGUUAGAGCGUUGGAUUGUGGUUCCAAAGGUCGGGGGUUCGAGACCCCUCAUUCACCCUA
rnacentral:tRNA from 1 species